rnacentral:rRNA from 1 species
GAUGAACGCUGGCGGCGUGCCUAAUACAUGCAAGUCGAGCGAACAGACGAGGAGCUUGCUCCUCUGACGUUAGCGGCGGACGGGUGAGUAACACGUGGAUAACCUACCUAUAAGACUGGGAUAACUUCGGGAAACCGGAGCUAAUACCGGAUAAUAUAUUGAACCGCAUGGUUCAAUAGUGAAAGACGGUUUUGCUGUCACUUAUAGAUGGAUCCGCGCCGCAUUAGCUAGUUGGUAAGGUAACGGCUUACCAAGGCAACGAUGCGUAGCCGACCUGAGAGGGGGAUCGGCACACGGAGAGAUGAGAAGCGCGCAAAACUCCUAGGGGAGGCAGGGGUGGGAAAUUUUCCGCAAGGGGCAAAAGCCGAAGGGAACAACGCGGGGGGAGUGAUAAGGGUCUUGGGAGCGUAAAACUCUUUUAUUGGGGAAAAAAAAAUGUGUAAGAAACUAGGCAGUUUUGAACCGAACCUAAUAAGAAGGCCCCGCUUAACUAGGU